GGGCGUGAAAUGGUUAGUCAAGGCAGUGUCUUAGUAAGUCUAGACCGGCAAUGUCACCUUGAAACGCAGGUUCGAUUCCUGCCACGUCCA
rnacentral:tRNA from 1 species